GAUGAUGCUAUCUGUUGUCUACAGAAAACUAUCACUCAUUUUCCCGAUGUAACAGCGAGGGAACUUGCAAGAGUAGUGGGGAAGAUCAUUUCUAUGACUCCAGUAAUGGAUAUAUUUAAAGUGGACAGAUGGACGGGAAUUAAUUGUGGAUUACAGGAUCAUCGUCUAGCGGAACUUGCUUCUGAACUACCCAGAUAUUGUGUAACAUCUAAGGCCGAAAAUACAGCAAAACAGUACAGAAUUCGGACAUUGAUGAGGACAAAGAGAUAUUAUAUGUAUUGUGUGAAUUAAUUAAACUGCACUUUCAGAGCGC